rnacentral:rRNA from 1 species
ACUCCUACGGGAGGCAGCAGUGGGGAAUUUUGCGCAAUGGGGGAAACCCUGACGCAGCAACGCCGCGUGGGUGAUGAAGGCCUUCGGGUCGUAAAGCUCUGUCUGGAGGGAAGAAAUGAUUGGGAGCUAAUACCUCUUGAUCUUGACGGUACCUCUGAAGGAAGCACCGGCUAACUCCGUGCCAGCGCCGCGGUAAU